UACGUAGGGGGCAAGCGUUGUCCGGAAUCAUUGGGCGUAAAGAGCGUGUAGGCGGCCCGGUAAGUCCGCUGUGAAAGUCCAGGGCUCAACCCUGGGAUGCCGGUGGAUACUGUCGGGCUCGAGUCCGGAAGAGGAGUGUGGAAUUCCUGGUGUAGCGGUGAAAUGCGUAGAUAUUGGGAGGAACACCAGUGGCGAAGGCGGCUCACUGGACCGGUUCUGACGCUGAUGCGCGAAAGCGUGGGGAGCAAACGGG
rnacentral:rRNA from 1 species